rnacentral:lncRNA from 1 species
CCACCGUCUCCUCCCUCCCUCUAAUGAAUUUUCCCUUAUAAAAUUUUCAGUUUUGCCUGUACAAACCUAAUGCCAGGAAAGCGUUGCGAAGUUUCACUGGCCUGUUUUUCUUGGUAUAGAUAGCUGGAAGCCAGAUGCUUGCACUGAGAUUGAACUCAUGUUGGACCAUUUUGCUUACCACCUUUAUCCCAUGUUGUACACAUUGGAUGACCAAGAUGUGCAGGAAGUGUGUGUUGGGUGGAUGUCUGGUCAGGAUAUCAUCUCUCAAAAUCUUUUUCGUACUGCACGAUGCAACAGAAAAAAGAAAAAAAUAAAAUAAAAACAAUCAAAAUA